UUUCGAUCCUCGCUAAUCCCGGCGACGGCGAACUUCUUUCUCUGUACGGAACGCUGAUUUGGGAGACGCAGCGAGAUGAAGAGAGAGCCAAAUCUUACUUUGACCAGGCCGUUUACGCUGCUCCUGAUGAUUGCACGGUGCUGGGAUCCUAUGCGCACUUCAUGUGGGAAGCAGAGGAAGAAGAGGAGGAGGAGGAGGAAGUUAAUGGCUGUGUUUUAAAGUGAUUUUUGGUAUUUAGAGGUUGUAGAGAGUGCUAUAUUUUCUAUAAAUGGCAUUUGAAUCUGAAAGUUACAGAAUAAGGAUCGUUGUUGUUUGAUAUGUCUAACCGGAAAUAGCUCCAAGUUAUAGAAUAUCAGAGACUGAAAAGUAAAUGGCUGCCUCUGUCCCUUCACCCUUCUCCUCCGUUCUCGCCACUUCCGGAGACUGUAACAUUCUAAUAUAACUUUGUAGAUCCCGCUUAAAUUAUGUAUGAUAGAUAUUAUUGGGAUAGACAUGGACUUGUAAAAUUUUGUUAAUGCAAUUAAUAAUAGUGCUAAUCGUUUUUACCCAGCA